AAAAAAAUGCAUCCCCUCAUCCUGAUGACGAGAAAAUACCAGACAAACCCAAACAGGAAGAUUCUACACAAUACCUGGCCAGUGCUCUGGACAUGUCAAGGUCAUGAAAGGCAAGGAAAGAUCAAGGAGCUAUCAUGGACUGCAAGAGACCAAGGGGACACAAUGACUAAACACAAUGGGGGAUUCCAGGCCAGGAUCCAGCAGACAGGAGCGCGAGAGGAAGCAGCGGACAGGACGCGAGAGGAAGCAGCGGACAGGACGCGAGAGGAAGCAGCGGACAGGAGCGCAAGAGGAAAGGUGGAGUUUCACUCUUUUUGCCCUGGCCUGGA
rnacentral:lncRNA from 1 species